GACGAACGCUGGCGGCGUGCUUAACACAUGCAAGUCGAACGAUGAAGCUGGAGCUUGCUCCGGUGGAUUAGUGGCGAACGGGUGAGUAACACGUGAGCAAUAUGCCCUUCACUCUGGGAUAACUGCGGGAAACUGUAGCUAAUACCGGAUACGAGGCUUGGAGGCAUCUCCAGGUCUGGAAAGAAUUUCGGUGAAGGAGGAGCUCGCGGCCUAUCAGAGUGUUGGUGAGGUAAUGGCUCGCCAAGGCGACGACGGGUAGCCGGCCUGAGAGGGUGACCGGCCACACUGGGACUGAGACACGGCCCAGACUCCGACGGGAGGCAGCAUUGGGGAAUAUUGCACAAUGGGCGAAAGCCUGAUGCAGCAACGCCGCGUGAGGGAUGAAGGCCUUCGGGUUGUAAACCUCUUUUGGCAGGGAAGAAGCGAAAGUGACGGUACCUGCAGAAAAAGCACCGGCUAACUACGUGCCAGCAGCCGCCGUAA
rnacentral:rRNA from 1 species